rnacentral:lncRNA from 10 species
CUCGGUGCCUGCACCGCCAUAGACACCACCAGGAAGAUUCACUUCCAGAGCCUUGAGACAACAUGUAAAAAGUUCAACUACCCUGAGACUGCAGUGAUGGAGAUGUCAUGUGGAGAGACCACAUGGAAAGUCCCUGAAGCUACAGGAGGAGAGCGAGAGAGAGAGAGAAAGAGAUCGAUCCCCCAAGAGACUUCAAUCAUUUGAGUCAUCCCAGCCCAGGAACCAGACAUGUGAAUGAAGAAGCUACCAGAUAAUCCCAGCCACCAGAUACCAGCUCCCAGCCACUGGAGGCACUCCCCCACUCUUCAAGUCUCCCCACCUUAAGCCCUAGAUGUCAUGGAUCAGAGACAAACCAUCCCCACUAUGCCCUGUCCAAACUUCAGACCCACAAAAACCAUGAGCAUAUUAAAAAUGAUUGCUGUUUUAUGCCACUGAGUUCUCGGAUGGUUUCUUACACAGCAAUCGAAAACUGGAACACGGCUGGGUGCAGUGGCUCAUGACUGUAAUCCCGGCACUUUGGGAGGCUGAGACAGGUGGAUCACCUGAGGUCAGGAGUUCAAGACCAGCCUGGCCAACAUGGUGAAACCCCAUCUCUACUAAAAAAAAUACAAAAAAUUAGCCAGGCGUGGUGGCGUGAGCCUGUAAUCCCAGCUACUUGGGAGGCUGAGGCAGCAGAAUUGCUUGAACCCGGGAGGCAGAGAUGGCAUUGAGCCAAGACCACACCAUUGCACUCUAGCCUGGGCAAUGAGACAGAAGCUGCAUCUCAAAAAAAAAAAAGAAAGAAAGAAAGAAAAAAGAAAAGAAGAAAGGAAACUGGAACAGAUAACCUCACUCACAGCUGGAGGUUGGUCGGCUGACAGUUUAGGCCAUGAGGGUGACUGAGCCAUGUGCCUCUCACCUUUCAGGCUACCUCUGGCUUGUUCACAUGAUGGUUAAGAGUGGCAAGAUCAGUGCAAAAUGACAAAGUAGACAGUUCCAAGCCCGCGUUCCCCACAGAAACAUCAAAAAACAAGCAGAAACUGUCAGAUACAACUUUGUCAGAACUCUGGGAAACAGUCAAAGGUUUACGGUAGUCCAGUGAAUGCUGAAUCAAGAAGAAAGACAACUUCAAAAUGAUCAAAAGCUUUUGAUAUUUCGACUUGCGUUUGCCCCACUUGCCACUGCCCUCCCUUGUGUGACAGCAGUAGUGGGAAGAGGGAAGCCCACACUCCCAGCAUGAGACUCUCAUUCCUCCUUCCAGAGGGAGCAGAGCAGACUUUAUUUGUAGAUGAUAGUGUAUGUCCGCUCUAAGCUGUCUGGGAGCCACCUGAAGGACAAGGUGCUCAUCUCUGGUCUUCCUGCCUCGGAACUCAGGCUGGAAAAGUGGUGGCACUGCUCAAAAACACUGCAAGCCAAACUAACAAACCACAGAUGUCUGUUCCAAAGAUUACAAUCAAAACACACAAUAGACGGCCUAAGGCUCAGGAGCAAAAGCUGGGGAGAGUUUCCUGGGGAAAUUAGAAGCACCUGCAUGCAUAGGGGGAUUUAUAAACACAGGGUUAUGCCCACAGCAAGAUGCAUGCUCAGAAAAGACCUGAGAAGACCCUAAGUUAUGCUCAGCUGAUCCCUAGGCUCAGGGCAAGCUGGGUUAAAUGUUGAAAGAGUGCUCCAGCACAGGGCCAAUCUGCAAAGACUGAGCGAGGGAAAGAUUUUUUGUUUGGUUGGUUUGCUUGCUUUUUUAGCUCCUGGUAUUCAAGAAAAUCUGUCAAAACACUAGCUGAACACAAGCUAAGGAAUAGAGACUUCAGUGACCACAUGCGACAAGUAAUAUAGUCUUUGCAAGAAUAGUUUUGGAAAGUCAUUAAGCCAAAACUACUACGGUCUUUAACAAUAAAACAAACAACAAACCAGCAAACCCUGGGACAGUGGGAGAAUCUGACAUCCAAAUUUAUCACAUUACAAAUAUUCAAAUGUCCAGUUUUUAACAAGAAAAAUCACAAGGUAUACAGAGAAAAAGGAAAUUAUGGCCCAUUGAAAGGGGAAAAAAAAUAACAAAUUGAAAGGAAUUAUUCCUGAGAAAGUCCAGAUCUGAGACUUACUAGACAAAGACUUUAAAAUAAUUGUCUUAAAUAUGCUCAAAGAGCUAAGGGAAAACAUGGACAAAAAUCUAAAGGAAACCAGGAAAACAAUGUAUGAAUAAAAUGAGACUAUCAAUAAAGAAAUGGCC